GCAGAUCUUCGUGAAGACCCUGACCGGCAAGACCAUCACCCUGGAAGUGGAGCCCAGUGACACCAUCGAAAAUGUGAAGGCCAAGAUCCAAGAUAAAGAAGGCAUCCCCCCCGACCAGCAGAGGCUCAUCUUUGCAGGCAAGCAGCUGGAAGAUGGCGGUACUCUUUCUGACUACAACAUCCAGAAGGAGUCGACCCUGCACCUGGUCCUGCGUCUG
rnacentral:lncRNA from 1 species